UAUAUCGGCGGUGUCCACCUCUUCCCAUUCCGAACAGAGAAGUUAAGCCCGCCAGAGCCGAUGGUACUGCAGUAAAAUGUGGGAGAGUAGGUCGGUGCCAAAC
rnacentral:rRNA from 1 species